CCUACGGGUGGCAGCAGUGGGGAAUAUUGGACAAUGGGGGCAACCCAGAUCCAGCCAUGCCGCGUGUGUGAAGAAGGCCCUCGGGUUGUAAAGCACUUUCAGUGAGGAAGAACGCCUGGUGGUUAAUACCCAUCAGGAAAGACAUCACUCACAGAAGAAGCACCGGCUAACUCCGUGCCAGCAGCCGCGGUAAUACGGAGGGUGCGAGCGUUAAUCGGAAUUACUGGGCGUAAAGCGCGCGUAGGUGGCUUGAUAAGCCGGUUGUGAAAGCCCCGGGCUCAACCUGGGAACGGCAUCCGGAACUGUCCAGCUAGAGUGCAGGAGAGGAAGGUAGAAUUCCCGGUGUAGCGGUGAAAUGCGUAGAGAUCGGGAGGAAUACCAGUGGCGAAGGCGGCCUUCUGGACUGACACUGACACUGAGGUGCGAAAGCGUGGGUAGCAAACAGGAUUAGAUACCCGAGUAGUC
rnacentral:rRNA from 1 species